CUUGGUCAUUUAGAGGAAGUAAAAGUCGUAACAAGGUUUCCGUAGGUGAACCUGCGGAAGGAUCAUUAUUGAAAUUAUAGGCGAGGGUUGUAGCUGGCCUCUCGGGGCAUGUGCACGCCUGAGCCCUUAAUCCACACACACCUGUGAACCUAUUGUAAGGGCCCGUAAAAAAGGCCUUUACGUCUUAUCAUCAACCCAUCGUAUGUCUCAUAGAAUGUAAAUAUAUGUCCUCGCCUUAAACAGCGUUGAUAAACUUAUACAACUUUCAACAACGGAUCUCUUGGCUCUCGCAUCAAUGAAGAACGCAGCGAAAUGCGAUAAGUAAUGUGAAUUGCAGAUUUUCAGUGAAUCAUCGAAUCUUUGAACGCACCUUGCGCUCCUUGGUAUUCCGAGGAGCAUGCCUGUUUGAGUGUCAUUUAAUUCUCAAACUCCGAUCGAUUUGUUUCGACUUCGGGGCUUGGAUUUGGAGCGUGCUGGCGUCGGUCGGCUCCUCUUAAACGCAUCAGCGGAAUCUAACGUUCCGGACGUCAGUGUGAUAAUCACGUUGCGCUGUCUUUCGGUCCGAAAAGCCCGCUCACAAUGGUCUUCGGACAACUUCAUAUCAAAUUUGACCUCAAAUCAGGUAGGACUACCCGCUGAACUUAAGCAUAUCAAUAAGCGGAGGAAAAGAAACUAACAAGGAUUCCCCUAGUAACUGCGAGUGAAGCGGGAAAAGCUCAAAUUUAAAAUCUGGCGGUCUUGCGGCCGUCCGAGUUGUAAUCUGGAGAAGCGUUUAUCCGCGUCGGACCGUGUACAAGUCUCCUGGAAGGGAGCGUCGUAGAGGGUGAGAAUCCCGUCUUUGACACGGACAACCGAUGCUUUUGUGAUGCGCUCUCGAAGAGUCGAGUUGUUUGGGAAUGCAACUCAAAAUGGGUGGUAAAUUCCAUCUAAAGCUAAAUAUUGGCGAGAGACCGAUAGCGAACAAGUACCGUGAGGGAAAGAUGAAAAGCACUUUGGAAAGAGAGUUAAACAGUACGUGAAAUUGUUGAAAGGGAAACGUUUGAAGUCAGUCGCGUCGGCCGAGACUCAACCUGGGCUUCUGCCCGGUGCACUUCUCGGUUGACGGGUCAGCAUCAAUUUUGACCGCCGGAUAAAGGUUGGGGGAAUGUGGCAUCCUUCGGGAUGUGUUAUAGACCUCGAUUCGGAUACGGCGAUUGGGAUUGAGGAACUCGGCGCUCUGCGUCCAGGAUGCUGGCAUAAUGGCUUUAAGCGACCCGUCUUGAAACACGGACC
rnacentral:rRNA from 1 species